rnacentral:lncRNA from 1 species
GAAACCACCCAUCGAGGUCAGGAGUCAAUUGAAAAGUUGUUAGGCCGGUAUUUCUACAUCUCGCAUUUGUCAGCUCUUGCCAAAACGGUGACGCAGUGGUGUGUUACCUGCCCACAGCAUAAUGCUAGGCAAUGUCCAGCCGUUCCACCCGGCAUACAAGCUUAUGGAGCAGCCCCCUUUGAAGAUCUCCAGGUGGACUUCACAGAGAUGUCAAAGUGUAGAGGUGAUCGAGUGUGGAUCAAGAACUGGAACGUAGCCUCUUUGUGUCCACUGUGGAAAGGACCCCAGACUGUCGUUCUGAGCCCUCCCACCGCUGUGAAGGUAGAAGGAAUCCCAGCCUGGAUCCACCACAGCCAUGUAAAACCUGCAGCGCGUGAAACCUGGGAGGCAAGACCAAGCCCAGACAACCCUUUCAGAGUGACCCUGAAGAAGACGACAAGCCCUGCUCCAGUCACACCCGGAAGCUGACUGGUCCACGCACGGCCGAAGCCUGAGGAAGCUCAUCGUGAGAUUCAUUUUUCUUAAAUUUUGGACUUAUACAGUAAGGGCUUCAACUGAUCUUACUCAAACUGGGGACUGUUCCCAGUGUAUUCAUCAGGUCACCGAAGUAGGACAGCAAAUUAAAACAAUCUUUCUGUUCUAUAGUUAUUAUGA